AUUGAACGCUGGCGGCAGGCCUAACACAUGCAAGUCGAGCGGAAGAAGGGAGCUUGCUCCUGGAUUCAGCGGCGGACGGGUGUGUAAUGCCUAUGAAUCUGCCUCGUAGUGGGGGAUAACGUCCGGAAACGGGCGCUAAUACCGCAUACGUCCUGAGGGAGAAGGUGGGGGAUCUUCGGACCUCACGCUCUCAGAUGAGCCUAGGUCGGAUUAGCUAGUUGGUGGGGUAAAGGCCUACCAAGGCGACGAUCCGUAACUGGUCUGAGAGGAUGAUCAGUCACACUGGAACUGAGACACGGUCCAGACUCCUACGGGAGGCAGCAGUGGGGAAUAUUGGACAAUGGGCGAAAGCCUGAUCCAGCCAUGCCGCGUGUGUGAAGAAGGUCUUCGGAUUGUAAAGCACUUUAAGUUGGGAGGAAGGGCAGUAAGUUAAUACCUUGCUGUUUUGACGUUACCAACAGAAUAAGCACCGGCUAACUUCGUG
rnacentral:rRNA from 1 species